CCACGGCUAAUUCCGUGCCAGCAGCCGCGGUAAUACGGGAGUGGCAAGCGUUAUCCGGAAUUAUUGGGCGUAAAGCGUCCGCAGGCGGCCCUACAAGUCUGCUGUUAAAAAGUGGAGCUUAACUCCAUCAUGGCAGUGGAAACUGUUGGGCUUGAGUGUGGUAGGGGCAGAGGGAAUUCCCGGUGUAGCGGUGAAAUGCGUAGAUAUCGGGAAGAACACCAGUGGCGAAGGCGCUCUGCUGGGCCAUCACUGACGCUCAUGGACGAAAGCCAGGGGAGCGAAAGGGAUUAGAUACCCCUGUAGUCCUGGCCGUAAACGAUGAACACUAGGUGUCGGGGGAAUCGACCCCUCCGGUGUCGUAGCCAACGCGUUAAGUGUUCCGCCUGGGGAGUACGCACGCAAGUGUGAAACUCAAAGGAAUUGACGGGGGCCCGCACAAGCGGUGGAGUAUGUGGUUUAAUUCGAUGCAACGCGAAGAACCUUACCAGGGUUUGACAUCCUGCGAAUCUCUUGGAAACUUGAGAGUGCCUUCGGGAGCGCAGUGACAGGUGGUGCAUGGCUGUCGUCAGCUCGUGUCGUGAGAUGUUGGGUUAAGUCCCGCAACGAGCGCAACCCUUUUCCUUAUUUGCCAGCGGGUUAAGCCGGGAACUUUAAGGAUACUGCCAGUGACAAACUGGAGGAAGGCGGGGACGACGUCAAGUCAUCAUGGCCCUUACGUCCAGGGCUGCACACGUGCUACAAUGGUUGGUACAAUGGGUCGCCACCCAGCGAUGGGGCGCAAAUCUAUAAAACCAAUCUCAGUUCGGAUCGGAGUCUGCAACUCGACUCCGUGAAGUUGGAAUCGCUAGUAAUCGCGUAUCAGCAAUGACGCGGUGAAUACGUUCCCGGGCCUUGUACACACCGCCCGUCACACCAUGGGAGUUGGUUUGACCCGAAGACGGUGCGCUAACCUUUUGGAGGCAGCCGGCCACGGUCAGGUCAGCGACUGGGGUGAAGUCGUAACAAGGUAGCCGUAGGGGAACCUGCGGCUGGAUCACCUCCUU
rnacentral:rRNA from 1 species